rnacentral:misc_RNA from 1 species
UCUCCGUAGGUGAACCAGCGGAGGGAUCAUUACCGAGUUUACAACUCCCAAACCCCUGUGAACAUACCAUUUGUUGCCUCGGCGGUGCCUGCUUCGGCAGCCCGCCAGAGGACCCAAACCCUUGAUUUUAUACAGUAUCUUCUGAGUAAAUGAUUAAAUAAAUCAAAACUUUCAACAACGGAUCUCUUGGUUCUG